rnacentral:lncRNA from 1 species
CUGCAAUUGACAAAGCCCGUGAAAAAAGCCCGAUAUGCAGCGACCUCGCAAGUCCCGCGGUGCAGCCCCGGCCAUCAUGCAGGUGGAGGCUGGGCCACGGCUGCAGCUCCCAGGCAGCCGGCCUGAUUCACACGCGCCACAGGCGCCCGUUUCUGGAAUCUUCCAUGGGUGAGGCUGCCCAAAAACGUGAAAAAUCGACCGAACAACCCACAGAUGUAGAAGAGGGGCGAGACCAGACAUGCAGAAAGCAAAUGCCGUGUGGAGGCCAAAUCAGAGUGAAGAUCCUAUGCAGAGAUGGGACAUUUGGGGCCUUAAUCUUCACAGGACCAUCUAUGUACAUAGUUUUCAGCCUCUGUCAUCAAUUUUUACAUGCAGAAGAAAACGACAACAACAGCCAUGCGUCAUAUAGCUAGAUAGGGCAGCCUAGGUCAAAGAAAUGGCGACAAUAAAGCUGAUUCAAACCGGGGGAAACA